rnacentral:lncRNA from 1 species
GUUCAUAAGACAAAGAGCAGCUAUAGAGACACCAUCUUCGUUCUUGGUCAAGUACUUGCAAACCGGACCAAGCCCGUAAAUCCUCUCGACGCUGUCUCCGCCGGGAAUGGUUCGGUUGGAGCAGGUGAGGAUGGAGUAAGACGUGAGAAGACGGAGGAUUCGGUCGAGCAUGACCGGAGCUUCGGGGUUUUUGGUCUGAAGUUUAGAAGCAAUCUCAGAUGGAGACAUCGGAGAAGAGUUCUUGGCCAUGAUCUCGAGAAGAUCAAGGUCUAAGGCGGACUUUAAAACCAUGGGAAGAACGGAGGCGCUGGCUAGCUGCAUGGCAAAGAGAGCGGCUUCGUCGUCGGUGACUUGUACCGGAGUUAUCUGUGUCUCCGCCGUUGAUCCCAUUUUUCUUGGAUUCUCUAAGAUAUUCUUGGGAUGUUUCUUUUUCUUUUGUUUCUUUGUUUUGAGAGGAGUGUGUGAUGGGUGAGAAGUAGGACGUUAAGAGGUUUAUUUAUAUGAAAAUAUAUUAUAAGAAGGUAGACAAGUGGCAUUUUUUUUUAACUCAAGUUUCUGAUCUAGCUUAAUUACAUGGUCCAAUUGAAUGAAAACAAUUCAGAACUUUUUUGUAUUUUAUAAGAGAGCCCGCUAUUUGUGAAGUAUUUCAUUUACGAUCCCUUCUACAGAAACAACUACACUUUAUUAUGUGCAUAUAUUUCAUCCAUACCCUUUAAACAUUGGAAAUGGUGAUUCAUUAUGCUGGCCCAUACCGACUUUAACGUAUUUUGUUAUAUUGAAUAUGUUAAACUUUCUAUAAAUUUCGGUAGCAGUAACUAGUCUUCCAUUUUUAGCGAGGACUUUAGCGAGUACUUGACAAUUCUAUGUACUGCUAACUUUUGUUUUUAACAAAGCAGAUUAUAUCUAAAAUUAAUCAUAACUUUUUUAAAGUUUGCAUCACUCUUACAUUUAUUAUUCUUACUAAAAAAACUGCGUCAAAUUUUUUCUUAAGUGUUAAUAAGUCAUAUAUAACCUAUAAGCUCACCAUCAAUUUUUUUUCUAUAGCAUAUCAGAUUUUGUCUACUAAAAACUUAAAAAGAAAUUUGUCAUCAAAGUUUUCUAACAAAAAAAAAAGAAUAUAUCCUAAGUUUGAUUUAAAACCGAUGAUAAAUUCAUAAUUGGUUUUAGAUUUUCAAUGUUUAACUGUUUAGCUUAAUUAAUAACAGUUAUACAAAAUAGAUUUAUAAAUAAAACAAAAAACUGUUAAACUAUAAAAAUCAAGAUACAAAAAAUGAAUGAGUAGAUGCGUUAAGGGGAAAAUGAAAAUAUGUUAACUACUAAUUAAGAAUGUGUGGAUUUUAUGUAUCAUGAAAACUAUAGAAAAUAAAUUUAUUAAUGAUCUUAACCAGAAACUAAUACACUAAAAACUAUUAAUUGAAAACUAUCUUAGAAUUAUAAACCGUUCAGAAAGAAAAAAAGGACCACUUUAAAAUUAGAUACAUCAAUAAAUAAAUAAGAAAAUCGCAUAAAAAAACUUUGAAAAUGUUAGUUACUAACACUUUAAACUUUGAAAUUUUUUCAUUAAUACUUUUAACUUUCAAAAUGACAUUUAUAUCACAAAAACUUCCAAAGUAAAAAAUUGACCUCUUGAACAAGUAAAAAAAUGAUGUCAGUUUUUUUUAAAAUAAUUAUUUAAUUAAUAAGACUAACAAAAAACUAAAUAAAAACCAGAAAAUUAAAUAAAAAUAGAAAAGUAAUAAACCUUAUAAAAUAAAUAAAAAUUCAGAAAAUAAAUUAAAUAUUAGAAAAUUAAAAAAAAAAAAAUCAUAAAUUUUAAAAUAAAUUUGAAAAUUCAAAAGUUUGAAUAAAAAAGUUUGUUUCCAUUUUCAACAGUGAUGUCGAAAAUAAUUAUUGGAGAUAUGCAAAAAAUAGUCAUUGUUAAUGGUUAUAUGAGAAACUAUCAAUGUCACUAGUGAUAUAUUUGGAAAUUUUAUUUUCACGAUGAUAUGGUAUAUUUUUUUAAAAAAAAUCUUAUAAUUAAAAAACUAUUUUAAUUUUUGAAUUUUCUAAAUUUUAUAAUUUUUUUGAAAUUUAUGAAUUUUUAUUUAGUUAUUCUGUAUUUUAAUUUUAUUUUAUUUAUUAUGGAAUUUUUAGUUAUUUUAUUUUUCUUUAAUUUUAAAUAUUUAUUUAGUUUUCCGAAAUUUUAUUUAUUUUUUUUAGUUUUCGGAAUUUUAUUAAAUUGUUCGAUUUUUAAUUUUUUGAAUUUUUAUUUAAUUUUUUUGUUUAUUUUAUUUAUUAAAUCAUUAUUUUGAAAAAAAAACUUACACAUCAUUUUUUACAUGUUCAACAGGUCAAUUUUUUACUUUAGAGAUUUUUAUGAUAUAAAUGUCAUUUUGAAAAUUAAAAGCAAAGUUUUUAAAUCUGACCCGGACACUGAACCAGACGACUUACCGGAUUGUUGGGUUACUAGGUCGACCACGGGUGAACCGCGGAUUAAUAAAUAAAUAAAAUUUAUUAUAUAAUAAUAUAUUAGGUAUGUAAAUAUAAAUAUAGAAACUAAAUUUUAAUAUUUUCUAAAAAAAAAUUAAAACAUAAAAUAAUAGUUUGGAUAUGUAUAUAUUUUAUGUUUAAAAACUUUUAGAAAAUACUUAAAUUUUCUUUUAUAUUUUUAUUUUCAUUUGACAUACAAAAUAUCAAAAAGUAGUUUAGACUAUUUAAAAAUUUCUCCAACAAAGUAAGAUUUACGACAUUUAAAAAAAUCAAGACAUAAAAUUUAUAAAUAUUUAAAUAUCUAAUUGAAUAAUAAAUUAAACUUCAAAUACAAAAUAAACCAAAAGUAAAAGAUCAUUGUAAUAAAAUGUCAAUACCGCUUCUGUGUCUGUUAUAGAGAUAUAUUUAUGGUUUUUUGGUAUAAAAUCGAAUAAACCGAAAACCGACGGUAUAUAAACCGAACCGAACCGAAGUAAAUAUGGAUUUAGAAUGGUAGUUAUAUUUUACUAACCAAAAUACCGAAAACCGAAAAAAACCGAACCUAAACCGAACCGAUAUCCGGAUUGAACACCCCUAUAAUAUAUAAGGGAUUAUUAAACAUCAUAGUUUUAAAACAAAGACGGUGAAGUAGACGUACAUAAGAGCAUUGUUUACAUAUAAAAUCAUUAUUACAUGGAUUGUGCGUGUGUGUUUUACAUCUUUUUGAGCAGCUCAAUAACGUAAACACCAAAAGCAUUGCAGGCAACAUUGAUGCCUUUGAAGCCUGAUCCUUUAGCUAAUGCCUCGAACUCUUUCUCGGUCCGUUCUUUGCCUCCAGGGUUAUGAGCCAACAUAAUGCAAUCAACAUGGACUACUUGUUUGGUCGAGAGGCUUGAGUCUGGUGUCUCUGGAAGUAUACACUCUGCUAGUAUCACUUUUCCAUCCUCUGGAAGCGCCUCGUAGCAGUUCUUCAAGAAUUUCACGCAGUGUUCAUCGCUCCAGUCGUGGCAUAUCCACUGUUACAACAAUGAAACAAAUCAAAACGUUUUGAGAUUUAAUUUCCUUGAUUAAUUACUUAUAAAUGUCAAAAGAGUUUUCGGUAUAGGAGCUUUGGUUAUUACUAACCUUCAUGAAAAUAGCAUCACCUUUAGGGACGCUUACAAACAUAUCUCCUCCAACAUGAUCAAUACCUGUAUUAAAUUUAACAAUUAAUCAAAUCUCUUAAUCAUAUGUAAAUGAAAUCAUAUAUAGUAUUGUGAAAUGUUAGGAAAAUGUAAUAUACCGGGAUGAGAAGUAGCUUCUUCAAUGACAUGUGGGAGAUCAAAGUUGAUGCCUUUAAGGUCAGGGUACUUAGAGACGAUCAUUUUGAGAGUAGCACCAAUGCCACCACCAACGUCAACCAAAGAAGUCAAACCCUCAAAACCCUUGUAGGUCUCGAGAAUCUUCUUCAUUGUGAUGGUUGAAUGGUUAGACAUUCCAUUGUUGAAGACCGUGUUGAACCUUAGAUCCUUCCCGUGGUACUCAAAAGCGCUCAUUCCAUAAGCCUUGUUGAAUGGAAUCCCACCAUCAAGAACUGCAUCUUUCAAAUGGUACCUGAAACAAGUAUCGUUGGUAUGAGUUUAAGAAAACACACACAUUCACACAAAGCUUAAUCUAACCGUUUUUAUUUAUCACUAGUUAGGAUAUUUUUUUUAUAAAUUGAUCUCCAGAUAAUCUAUUGAUCAGACUUGAUCCACCUGAGGUUGAUUAUAAUUGGUUAUCAUGAUAGAGCUGCCGGUAUGCAAAGAGAACCAGCCGGUUUGAAAUUAUGUUUCUAUAUUCCUUUGCUAGCUGCUAAAUAAUCGGAAGACCGGUUCUCUUCUUAUUAUAGUUUCCUUAAAUGAUCCUCAAUAAAGGGAAGAACAAUUACAUCUUCUCUAUUUAGAACCAUGAAACACGUUGACAAGAAAAUGAAACACAAAAUAAAAUAAUAAUAAUAGAGUGUUUUCUGCAAAAAAAAAACCUCUACAUUGAAUACAACAAAAAUAUUUAAAGCUAUGAAACAACUAGAGUACAGAGUGUGUUUUUUAAUUUUCCUCUUAUUAUUUUGUAUAGUACUAGCAAACAAAAAUUUCAACGAUAGAGCUCGCUUAACCACUAAAAAUGUUAUAUAGUUUUUUAGUGGAAGCAGAUAUAGAAAACGUGUCAACGCAUCAUUUUGUCUGAUUGUCUAUGACACUUUGUGGCCGAGUCUCUCUCAUCUUUACCUUUGCACAAUUCAAUUUUAAUCAUCACAUGAUUCACAUCAACCAAGAACCAUAGCUUAUGAAACAAAAUUAUCAAAGAAGAAGCUUUUUUUUUCUAACUUGAUAUAGCCACAAGAUCUAUCCAAUGAAGAUGUCUUGGUAAUAUCUUAAAAAACUUACCAGCUUUCCAUGAGAACCUUGUCUUGGUUCAUAAGACAAAGAGCAGCUAUAGAGACACCAUCUUCGUUCUUGGUCAAGUACUUGCAAACCGGACCAAGCCCGUAAAUCCUCUCGACGCUGUCUCCGCCGGGAAUGGUUCGGUUGGAGCAGGUGAGGAUGGAGUAAGACGUGAGAAGACGGAGGAUUCGGUCGAGCAUGACCGGAGCUUCGGGGUUUUUGGUCUGAAGUUUAGAAGCAAUCUCAGAUGGAGACAUCGGAGAAGAGUUCUUGGCCAUGAUCUCGAGAAGAUCAAGGUCUAAGGCGGACUUUAAAACCAUGGGAAGAACGGAGGCGCUGGCUAGCUGCAUGGCAAAGAGAGCGGCUUCGUCGUCGGUGACUUGUACCGGAGUUAUCUGUGUCUCCGCCGUUGAUCCCAUUUUUCUUGGAUUCUCUAAGAUAUUCUUGGGAUGUUUCUUUUUCUUUUGUUUCUUUGUUUUGAGAGGAGUGUGUGAUGGGUGAGAAGUAGGACGUUAAGAGGUUUAUUUAUAUGAAAAUAUAUUAUAAGAAGGUAGACAAGUGGCAUUUUUUUUUAACUCAAGUUUCUGAUCUAGCUUAAUUACAUGGUCCAAUUGAAUGAAAACAAUUCAGAACUUUUUUGUAUUUUAUAAGAGAGCCCGCUAUUUGUGAAGUAUUUCAUUUACGAUCCCUUCUACAGAAACAACUACACUUUAUUAUGUGCAUAUAUUUCAUCCAUACCCUUUAAACAUUGGAAAUGGUGAUUCAUUAUGCUGGCCCAUACCGACUUUAACGUAUUUUGUUAUAUUGAAUAUGUUAAACUUUCUAUAAAUUUCGGUAGCAGUAACUAGUCUUCCAUUUUUAGCGAGGACUUUAGCGAGUACUUGACAAUUCUAUGUACUGCUAACUUUUGUUUUUAACAAAGCAGAUUAUAUCUAAAAUUAAUCAUAACUUUUUUAAAGUUUGCAUCACUCUUACAUUUAUUAUUCUUACUAAAAAAACUGCGUCAAAUUUUUUCUUAAGUGUUAAUAAGUCAUAUAUAACCUAUAAGCUCACCAUCAAUUUUUUUUCUAUAGCAUAUCAGAUUUUGUCUACUAAAAACUUAAAAAGAAAUUUGUCAUCAAAGUUUUCUAACAAAAAAAAAAGAAUAUAUCCUAAGUUUGAUUUAAAACCGAUGAUAAAUUCAUAAUUGGUUUUAGAUUUUCAAUGUUUAACUGUUUAGCUUAAUUAAUAACAGUUAUACAAAAUAGAUUUAUAAAUAAAACAAAAAACUGUUAAACUAUAAAAAUCAAGAUACAAAAAAUGAAUGAGUAGAUGCGUUAAGGGGAAAAUGAAAAUAUGUUAACUACUAAUUAAGAAUGUGUGGAUUUUAUGUAUCAUGAAAACUAUAGAAAAUAAAUUUAUUAAUGAUCUUAACCAGAAACUAAUACACUAAAAACUAUUAAUUGAAAACUAUCUUAGAAUUAUAAACCGUUCAGAAAGAAAAAAAGGACCACUUUAAAAUUAGAUACAUCAAUAAAUAAAUAAGAAAAUCGCAUAAAAAAACUUUGAAAAUGUUAGUUACUAACACUUUAAACUUUGAAAUUUUUUCAUUAAUACUUUUAACUUUCAAAAUGACAUUUAUAUCACAAAAACUUCCAAAGUAAAAAAUUGACCUCUUGAACAAGUAAAAAAAUGAUGUCAGUUUUUUUUAAAAUAAUUAUUUAAUUAAUAAGACUAACAAAAAACUAAAUAAAAACCAGAAAAUUAAAUAAAAAUAGAAAAGUAAUAAACCUUAUAAAAUAAAUAAAAAUUCAGAAAAUAAAUUAAAUAUUAGAAAAUUAAAAAAAAAAAAAUCAUAAAUUUUAAAAUAAAUUUGAAAAUUCAAAAGUUUGAAUAAAAAAGUUUGUUUCCAUUUUCAACAGUGAUGUCGAAAAUAAUUAUUGGAGAUAUGCAAAAAAUAGUCAUUGUUAAUGGUUAUAUGAGAAACUAUCAAUGUCACUAGUGAUAUAUUUGGAAAUUUUAUUUUCACGAUGAUAUGGUAUAUUUUUUUAAAAAAAAUCUUAUAAUUAAAAAACUAUUUUAAUUUUUGAAUUUUCUAAAUUUUAUAAUUUUUUUGAAAUUUAUGAAUUUUUAUUUAGUUAUUCUGUAUUUUAAUUUUAUUUUAUUUAUUAUGGAAUUUUUAGUUAUUUUAUUUUUCUUUAAUUUUAAAUAUUUAUUUAGUUUUCCGAAAUUUUAUUUAUUUUUUUUAGUUUUCGGAAUUUUAUUAAAUUGUUCGAUUUUUAAUUUUUUGAAUUUUUAUUUAAUUUUUUUGUUUAUUUUAUUUAUUAAAUCAUUAUUUUGAAAAAAAAACUUACACAUCAUUUUUUACAUGUUCAACAGGUCAAUUUUUUACUUUAGAGAUUUUUAUGAUAUAAAUGUCAUUUUGAAAAUUAAAAGCAAAGUUUUUAAAUCUGACCCGGACACUGAACCAGACGACUUACCGGAUUGUUGGGUUACUAGGUCGACCACGGGUGAACCGCGGAUUAAUAAAUAAAUAAAAUUUAUUAUAUAAUAAUAUAUUAGGUAUGUAAAUAUAAAUAUAGAAACUAAAUUUUAAUAUUUUCUAAAAAAAAAUUAAAACAUAAAAUAAUAGUUUGGAUAUGUAUAUAUUUUAUGUUUAAAAACUUUUAGAAAAUACUUAAAUUUUCUUUUAUAUUUUUAUUUUCAUUUGACAUACAAAAUAUCAAAAAGUAGUUUAGACUAUUUAAAAAUUUCUCCAACAAAGUAAGAUUUACGACAUUUAAAAAAAUCAAGACAUAAAAUUUAUAAAUAUUUAAAUAUCUAAUUGAAUAAUAAAUUAAACUUCAAAUACAAAAUAAACCAAAAGUAAAAGAUCAUUGUAAUAAAAUGUCAAUACCGAAAAUAAGCUAACACCAAAUCACAUCAACUAAUUUUGGUUCUCUCUACCAUCGUUCACUUCAUUUUCUUCAGGUGGCAUAGUGAAAUUGAAAUCUUCAUCAAAAUCUAAAAAUCACAAAUUUAAAACUGAAAAAGGAAAACCUAACUUUUUUUUUGUGAGCACCUAACUUCUUAAUUGUAAACUUAAAAUAUAAAACAUAUUCUAAAAACUUAAUUUAAAACUUAAAAAAAUGAAGUCAAAUUUUUUAUUAGUUCGACCGGUGGUUCAACCGGUAUCGGGUUCUGAGUUUUACUGGGUUUUUGCAGGUUUUUAUAAAACCCAAACCGGAUUUUUUGGGUCACCGAGUUUACCGGUUCAACCGCAGAUCGGGAUUAGGUUUUAAAACACUGGUUAAAAAUAUUACUGAAAAAACUUUAAAGUUUAAAAUGUGAGUAAAUUACAUUUUUAACGUUUUUUAUGCGAUUUUCUCAUAAAUAAACUCAUAAAAGGAAAAAUGAACGAGGCUCGACACUUGAGAAGACUAUACAAAUGUAAGUGGGACAGAUGGUAUGGUGGGUAGAGCCGACACGCCAUUUCUAAUUAAUUGCAACCCACUUUUGCUUAAUAUCGUAUCAUUUUAUUCAACGCUAAAUCAUUUCAUCGACAUUUUGCUUUCAUAGAAUGUUUAGAAACAAUGGAUUGGAAAGUUUAACCUAAUACAUUGAAUUAAUUUACAUUAAUAAAUAUAUAAUUAUUUAUGAAAAAGUUCGGUACAAGAUUCUUCUUCUCAGUUGUGAACUACGUAGUAUUUUAGCUAGGGAUGGUCACAAACAUUUGUCUCGUCAUAUUUUGUUGUUUUCAACCAAUUUCGAUCCAAAAUUCUUGUUUCAUAUAAAAAUUCAUUUUCAAAAUAUAGCAAGAUGAUAUGUAUUACAUAUUUAUUUGAGAAAAAAACUUUGAGAAUAUCAUCUUGCUAUAUUUUGAACUGGGUAAGUAUUUUUAUAACAAAAAUAUCAAAGAUAAUUCAUUCUAAAUAUCGGUUACAAUUAAAAAUGCCGUUGCAAGUAAUAAUUUGUUUGUUGCAAAAAAAGUAAUAAUUUGUUAAUUAUUUAAGUUGUAGCUGGUUGUAUAUGUCCUCAAUUUUUUUUGACCGAAUUGUUUUUUUUAUAUUCAUUCACACCAACCACACCAACCAUUCUCACCUACUCCUUUGAAUUGAAAUGGAUAUAGGACCACCAGUCUCUGACGUACAUGUAUUAUGUUCGCUUAUUAUUAGAUAUGUUUUCUCAAAUUGGUAAUUUCAUUCAUUUAAUUAGAAAAUCGUGUUAUAUAUAAACGGGUUAAAUAGUAGAAUUUUUUUUAAUUAAACAUUUAAAUAUGAUAUAUGUCUAUUGAAAUUGAUAGUGUUUUUCUAAUCAGUUGUUAGCUUUGUUUUCCAAAGAACACUUUGUUUUAUAUUAAAAAGGUCAAAAGUAUAGCAUAUUUUUAUAUAAAACCCAUCGUACUAUUAAAAUCCUCCAAAGGAUAUGAACAGCUUCACACUGAGAUAAUUUAGGUUAAAUCUGUGUGAGAAACCAGUUCUAAAUUAUGAUUGGAUCAUAAAUAAUGUUUGAUAUCGGUUUAAUGAAAUUAAUAUACUUUUUAUUAUUAUUUUAAUUAAUUAAUGUGAAAUUAUAAAUUUGUAUCAAUUAUCUCAAUUUUUUAGAAAUUAUAAAUUUGUAUCAAUUAUCUCAAUUCAGAAAUUAUAAAACAUUUAGUCAAAAUGAGUCUAUAAUAGCAAUUUGGAAAGAAACAAAAAUCAGAUAUCUUAAUUUUAAAGUUCUAUUUAAAAUAAAAAGAAGAAUCCAAAGUCCUACCUACUACCGUGUUAGUGAUACGUCAUGAUCAAAGAACGUUCAUUUGUAUCAAUUAAAGGAUAAUAAAACAGUGUUAUCGAUGUAAUCUUUUACCUUUUUGGCACCUAAAUGAAUUGUAAGUAAAAUAAAUGGAAACACGAAAUGAGGUGUUCAUCCUCUUUUCUUUUUUUUUGAGUUGUAGAUCCUUUUGGUUGGUUGUUCGACAUGAAACUUAUACAACUAAUGACUCAGAACUUUUGGUAUCCCGUAUCCGUGAAUAGAAAUAAGUGUACGAGCAAACGUAUUUAUAUAUACUUGUAUGGGUUCUUUUGGUAAUGAUCAAUGUUAAGAACUUGUAUGAUUUUUAUUUUCUCUAAGCUCGUUUUAAUUUCUUCGUUGAUUUUGACAUUUUUGAACGAACUUAAACUUACGAAAAAUAUUGUUUGAAUAAUAAAAGAAAUUCUCAGGUUUAUAGAAAUUAAUACCAAAACGGUCGACUAUGGUUAAAAACAGAUUAGUGUAUGAGCUUAGAAAGCUAAAUGUAGCUAAACAUUUGACCGCUUAUUUUUCUAGUUUUUCUUCGCAACAAUCAUAAAUAAAUCGGUGAGAUAUACAUAAACGAUAAACUAGCCACAAAAUUUAGAUAUAAAAAAGUGUUUAACAAAAGAUGGUUAAGUUGCAUUUAGACAAAAUUUCGUAUUGUGCAGUUUGUGUAUUAAAAUAUAUAGUAUUAAAAAUUUAGGGUAUCAAAAUUUAUUUGAAAAGAAAUUCAAUUUCUUUCAUAAACUAGCCUUUAGACCACUGUAUCAGUCUUACGGUCAGUGUUAAUUUGAGAUUUGGAAGGAAUGAAAUUUGAUAAAAAUAUCCAUAAUUCCAACAGAUAAUCUAUCAUAAAAUCAUAGCAUAUACCACAAGUGAAAUUCUAUAGCUGAAGCCCUAAGCCAUAUAUUCAGUUUGAUUAGCUGAAACCUUAGUCUGUGUCAUUCUCAGAAUGAAGCGCGGUUUUGUAAUUGGUUCAAAGGUUAGUUUACAUUUCUUUGUACGUUAAUAUGGUUCUUCGUAAAGUUGUUUCAGCGUAAUUAUUUGCAAAAUUUCCUUAUCAUAUCAUUAUCAACCAGCCAAGUUUCAGUCAUUAACAUGCCUCUGAGAGGAGGUUAUUUGAAGGUAUUUUUGGAAAAUUUCCAUAUUAUCAUAACAACCAACCAAAUUCCAAUCGGUUGAGUGAACCAAACUGAUUCAGAUAUCUUUUAUAUUUGUAGUUUUGGGAAAAUAACUGGGCCUAAUUAUUAUGGGCCAAGGGCUAACGUGACUAAAGCAAGAAGUUAGAAAGUCGGAAACAACUGUUGUAGAGGAAGAGAAACGUUUGGACUCUCACUCUUUUUCCUUUUCGAUCUAUGCAAGUUGAGAGAGAAAAUGGAGACGAAUAAAGAAGAAAUGGCUCCUCUCAGAGGCAUACUAUGUCUGAAAAACAGUCAAGACAUGAAGAAAAUCGAGGAGACAGAGGACUGCUUCAUUCUAGAUUGUGACACUUUGGAUCCUUUCGACUUUAAAAUAGAGAUCAAGAAAGAAGUAACUCCCCUCAGAAACAUAUUAUGUCUGAAAAACAGACAAGACAUGAAGAGAAUCGAGGAGACAGAAGACUGCUUCAUUCUUGAUUUCGACCCUUUUGAUUCUUUCGACUUUAAAAAACUCUCAGUCUCCAGUGAUGGUGAUAAAGAUCUGGAUAUUAUCCAUGAGACAGGCCAGGUCUUAGUUUUGAAGUUUAGGGAUUACUUCUAGGUUUAUCUCUAUUUUUGCUCUAACUUUAUUUUUUGAAAAUGUGAUGGAAUCUCAGGUGGCUUGUAGGGAUUACCCACAUCCAAGACACCUUUGCUUGACUUUUCCCUUUGGAUCAACUCCUAAUGCAACCCAUUGUCGUCUGGUAAUUACUUGUCUCUUUCUUUUUAAAAGGAUUUAAGGAAAAAAUAAGUAUGAAAUGGCUUAACUUGGUGUUCAAGUAUCUAUGAAACUGUCUUUUCCUCCUUUUGAUAUGGCAAGUAUUUUAACUAUAGAGAUUAACAUGAAUGAAUAUAUGCAGUGUUACUGUUGCGUCUGCGAUAAGCCUGCACCUUGUGCACAAUGGAUGUCGCAUUGCAAUACUUCAGAGGACUCUAUGGUGCGGAAGCUACCGACCCCUGAGAGCCAGAGCUUCUAUUACUCCGAUUAAUAUCAUCUUUUUGUUGACAGUUUCUCCCUUGCGUUUUCACAUCUUUGAAUGAGUAGUAGAUCAACAUAGCCUUGGAAGACUAUGGAUUAACAAUGCAUAACUAUUUAGUAUGAUAUUUUUAUGGGUGAUUUGCUAGGCUAUAUUGUUUCUUGCUGAGGAUUCGGUUACAAACCUCGGUAAAACGGGUCAUAUGUGCCUAAAGUUCAUAAAAUUGAAAGCACAAAGCAAAUUUAUAUGCCUAAAGCUUUGUGCCACAUAAAAUAGAGGAUUGUUGAUUUGUUUCAAUAUUUCUGUAGUUACAUAAUUUUGUUCCAAAUAAACACAAACCAUAUUCAUAUAACCACAAAAAAAAAUCAGAAAUUCAGAACCAAACCAAGCAUUUCCGAGAAUAUAUAUAACUUCCAUGUUCAAAUACCAAAGUCCCUAGAUUGAGUAGAUGAGGCAUGCCGCAUGCAUGUUACUAACUUACUAUGUUAGCAGUGUAAGGUGUGAUCAAUGAUCAUGAUGAUUGUAUGUGGACAUGAGCAUUAUAUAUGUGUAUGAGAUUCGAUCAUGUUGCAUUUUUCAAUACUCAACUGCCCAUGUUGCUUAUCCGGAAGGGUUCAGUUUCUAAUCUAUCGUCAACAAAUCUGUUUAUGUAAUUUGUACGUCUAGUUCUAUCAAUUCGUUCUUUUAAAAUCCUAUCUUGUAAUUUUAUGCACUUUAUAUUUUAGUUCAUAUUGAAAUAUUAGUGUAAAGCUCUUAUUUCUAAUUUUUCCAAUAAAGGAUAUACAUGUGACAUUCUUAUCUUAAAACCAUGUCAUAACUCAUAAUCUUAUAAUUAGAAUCAGAUAAACGUACAAGAAGGUUCAUAAUGAACCAUCCGCGUUGACCAAAAAAAAAAACCCAUCCGUAGGCAGGUCAUUAGCUUUAAUUUUGCUUUGGGGUCAAGCAAAUAAUCCAAACAAUUUGUUUUUUCUUUUUUGCCUCUUCUCCAAGUUCUUUCUUUUCCAUGGGUAUAUAUAUAUAUGUAUGUAUAGCCUGUCGAAGAAAAUGAAAAAGAGAUUUCAAAAUCAAAUAAAAAGAUUUAAGAGAGUUUUAGUUUGUUGAGCUUCUUCCCCUUCCCAGAGUUAGUUACACAAAAAGAUGAUGAUCCGUUCAAGAACCGCAGCUACCACCGCCGCUAGAUCCUUGGGCUACCUCCGUCACUCUUCGGCUCUCGUUCACUCUCCCCUCCUCUCCGGCGCCACCGCCACCACUCCCUCCGUCCGCCACUUCACCUCUCCCGUCAACAGGUAAAAUCUAAAGCUCAGGGUUUCGUAAUCUCUCUGCGGAAUGUGAAUGGAUUAGUCUAGCUUAGAGCUCGAUUUGGUUGGUGAUAUGUUAGUUAAUCGUCUUCUUCUUUGUUAUAUAUAGCUACCAAAUCAAGCCGCCGGUGAACUGGGGAAUCCGAAUCGUCCCGGAGAAGAGAGCCUGCGUGAUUGAGCGGUUCGGCAAAUACGUCAAGACGUUGGAGUCCGGGAUCCACUUCCUCGUCCCCGGCGUGGAUCGAAUCGCCUACGUGCAUUCGCUCAAGGAGGAAGCGAUUCCGAUUGGGAACCAGACUGCGAUUACGAAGGAUAACGUCAGCAUCCACAUCGAUGGCGUUCUUUACGUCAAGGUUUGUUAUCGUUAUCUUUACUUCUUUGAAUUACUUUUUAGAUCUAUGCUGAGUUUUUUUUUUUUUUUUUUUUUGCAGAUUGUGAAUCCGCAUCUGGCGUCUUACGGCGUUGAGAAUCCGAUCUACGCUGUUAUGCAGUUGGCUCAGACCACUAUGCGUAGUGAACUUGGGAAGAUUACUCUUGACAAGACUUUUGAGGAACGAGAUGCGUUGAAUGUCAAGAUUGUGGUUCGUUUUCUUUGCUUUUGGUCAUGUUUAGUGCUUAAAGAUUGCAGUUUGUUUAGCUUUUUUGAUUGUUUAGUCAUUGCUGGAUCUGAGUUUAGUUGAUAAGUGUUUGUAUAAUGCAGCUGGAGAAUGCAUUCGUAGUUUAAUGUACUGAAUAUUACAAGCAUGUGAUGAUUCUGUGACGCUGAAUGAAAAGAAUGUAGUGCAUUUUCUUUUGCCUUAACUUGAGCUUAGUUUCGAAUUGAACAGUUUGCAGUUUGCUUAGCUUUUUGGUUCUUUUAACUGUUUUCUGAGUCUGAGUUUAGUUUUUGUUAGAUAAGAGUAUGUAAAAUGCAGCUGUUUAAUGUAUUGAAUAUUAUUACAAGCAUGUGAUUGUUUUGAGAUGGAAUGAUUCUUGCAGGAAGCAAUCAAUGUUGCUGCUAAAGAUUGGGGUCUUGAGUGCCUUCGUUAUGAGAUAAGUGAGUACUUUUUUCUCUGUUUUGACUCUUUUGGUGGAUUCUCUUGUUUGGCUAUUUCUAAGUACAUGUGUUGUUGUAUUCCAGGGGAUAUCAUGCCUCCUAAUGGAGUGAGGGUUGCUAUGGAGAUGCAAGCUGAAGCUGAACGUAAAAAGAGAGCCCAGAUUCUCGAGUCUGAAGGUAAACUAGCAGACUUGUGUUCUGUGAUUGAACAGUGUGCUUUUGCUACAGCUCAAGAAUACAGAAUUAAAGCCUGUUUAGCUUGUUUCUGAUGAUCUGUUUUACUGACUUGAACAGGAGAACGCCAAGCCCAUAUCAACAUAGCUGAUGGUAAGAAGAGUUCUGUAAUCUUGGAAUCAGAAGCUGCAAAGAUGGACCAAGUCAAUCGAGCAUCAGGUUUGUAUUAAUUAUAUUUAGUAAGCAUGAACGUAAGCCAUUCUUUCUUCAGUUUUGUUUCAUCACAACAUUUCUUCUUUGUUGUAUUGAUUUUCAGGCGAGGCAGAAGCAAUAUUAGCUAGAGCACAAGCAACAGCGAGGGGGCUGACCAUGUUAUCUCAAUCCCUCAAGGAAACUGGUGGAGUGGAGGUUUGUAUAAUAUGAGAUUAAACUGAUGUUAGUCGUAUGCUGCUACUUAUAACUUGAUCCUUCAGACGAGUUUGGUUUCACACAUUGAGGCAUCUAACCUUUGUUUCCCAUAAAUGAUUCUCUCUGACAGAUUCUAACUAGAGGUUUCUGUGGCUUAUAGGACUUAUAAGAAACUUGUUUAGCUUUCCAAAAUAAAGACUCAUUUUUGAUCGUGUUGUAAUAUGCAGGCUGCGAGUUUGAGAGUUGCGGAGCAAUACAUUCAAGCUUUUGGGAACAUAGCCAAGGAGGUAAACAACUAUGAAACACAACUUUACCAUACCAUAUAGUUAUCUCAUCCUAUCUACUUGACAAUCUCUUCCUCCCUUUGGGUAUCAAUCAAAAAGGGCUAAUAAAUUGUGUUUCAUGGUUAGGGUACAACGAUGCUGCUUCCGAGUUCAGCUGCAAAUCCUGCAAACAUGAUCGCUCAAGCCUUGACAAUGUACAAAAGCCUCGUCCCCAAUGGUGGUAUCCAGGAAACUUCAGCUGUGGAAUCCUCGUCUAAAGCGAAAUAGAAGUGGUGGUGGUGGUAGAAGAGCUAGGAACAAUGAUAAUUCUUUUGAUCUGUGUAACAGCUUUUCAGUUUGAUAUAUGAGAAACAGUUUAUCUUUCUAAGUUUGCAAACAGAAAAACAAAUCUAAGCUCUAAUUUCUGAAAGGAGAUUUUUUGCACCAAGUUUGGUCUUGAAAUGUUUAGUGUCUGUUCUUUUGCAUCUUCAUUUCUUGUUUGGUUGCUAUUGUGGAGUGUCAAGUAGAUUUUGUGACAAGGAUAAGAAACUGUUGCUAGAGGAAGAACGGUGUAGGUCGUUGACAGACAAGAGCCUCGAAGAAUCUAAUGGUGACAUGAACAUUUUUUAGUCUUUUUCUUGAAAUAGCAUGUCUUGGCUGUCUGUACAACCACUGUAUAUAUCCUCUUUGUUGUCUUCUACUAUAUAUUUGCUCAGCUUCUAAUAAGGAAAAUUAAAAAAAAGGAUCAGAAAGGGAGUUUCAUUGUUUGCUUCACAGUUCUUCCCAUCGUACUUUGUUUAUUUUUUUUUCACCAACAUUACCAUGGGAGCCUGUGCGAGCACGCCUAAGGAGUCUGAUAUUCUUGAAACCCCUGCCACCACUGAAAACGCUGUGGUCGAGUCCAUGAACGUCCAAACCGAAGCUGUAUCUCAGGUUUUUGUGGAUCAAAUAUCAUUUUGGUUUCUGAGCAAAAUAGUUAAUGCUUUUGGAUGAAAGAUGUGUAAUUACUUUUGUUCUUCCUUGGCGAGUUACAGGAGAAGGCAGAUGAAGUUGUUGCAGAGAAGAAGGAAGAGUCUAAUGUAGAUGAAGCAGAGAUACAGAAGGAAGCUGAACCAGCCAAGCCUGCAGAGGUUGAACCAGCUCCAGAGGCUGUGAAGACCGAAGAAACUCAAGAAGCUGCUGUUGAUGAGAAAGCUUCUUCUGGUGAGACUGAGCCACCAAAACAAGAGGAGGCUACAACCGCCAGUGACACCAAAACUAACGAAGAGCCUCUUGUAACCCUUUAAACUCAUUUCUCAACUCUGUAAUAUGUACGUUUCAUUGUCGUAUUUCUAGUGCUGCCAAUGUAUAACCUAUCACAAUAAACGAAUUUCUAUAAUUUUCCAGCGUGGUAAGUAUUUAUUUGUUGGGCUUAGGUAUAAAUGGGCUUUAAAAUCAACUAAUGGUUUUUUGUUUAAGUAAAGGUAAAGCUAAGUUUUUGUCCCACUUCGGAACAAGUAGUGGAGUUGAUAGGUAUUGCUUAGAUAUAAAUAAAGAGGCUCUCUCUCACUAUCAAACCAUCUUUGCGCUUGGGGCAAUGACGCAGCUAAUGAGGUACUAACCGAGGCGCGUCUAUUGCUGGUUGAAAACUAUUUCCAAACCCCCUCCUGGGCCUGAGCUUGUCUUGGGCCUUCGAGAAUUUCUGGAAGGGCUCCCUUCGGGGUAAAGCUCUACAAUUCUUUAGUUUAAUUAUUUGUUUGUAGCUUUAUGAUUAUAGACUAAAAACGUUUUCUAUUAUCAUUCUAAACCACUACAUUUAUAGAAAAACAGAGGAAGACUUUUAAGUAUUAGCAAAAUUUACAGGGUUUAGAAUGAAAUGGGCUUUAAUGAUUCAUAAAACCUAGAUCUCGAUGUUUCAAAUUCAUACUAAUAUCAAGUGCUUGUUCUCCCACAUCGAUUACAAAACUCAAGAACAUUAAAGAAUCUGAACUUUAAAUUAGACGCAGAGCAGCGUGAUAAAGACUCACGGAGCCGUGCAGUGGGGGCAAAGCGAACUAUUCUUUCGCCUUUUACUAAAGAAUACCGUGUUCUCUCUGUAUUUAGCGGCAUACGCCUAUUUUUGGAAAAGGGUUUAGAAAUAAACCUCCAUCAGUUCUUUAGUUUAAAAUUAUAAUAUUUUUGAGGUAUAUAGGUGUCAAAAUAUUACUCACAAUAUUUGAUAAGUGUUUGUCACUAUGGUUCUUUUCUCCCACAGUUACCACUAACUAAAGAUGAGAAGUAUCUCUGUUUGGUUCAAUGUAGUAGUCUUUAAUGAGUGAUUUCAGAUCGUUUUGGUGCCGCAGCACGGUGAACAUAUGUUGAAACGCGAGGCUUAUGACGGAAGAUGCAGGUUGAGACUUGAGAGGAAAGAUAAUUGAUGGUUUACGCGGCGGACCUUGGAAGAUCUUGUUAAGAGUGUGAUGAAUGAAAGUAGUGAGGUUGGAAGAAUCAUGAUAAAUGGAGAUGUGUUUUGACUUUUGAGCGACUAAGGUUUUGCUGAUGGUUAUAUCUGCAAAUUUAAACAUAACUUAAUUGAUCUUGUGAAGACAUGAAUUAUCAUUUCUAGUCUUUCCAUUUAGUUCGGUUUAAUUGGUCAUGUUUGGCUUUGUUUGAGUCUCGGAGAGAUAGAUUUGUAGUAGGGCAUGUUGCAUUGCAUGCUCUUCGUAUGUCCCGUAAGAUUAGCUAUUUAAUAAUUUUAUUUUAUUUUGGAACGAAAUUAGCUUAUAACUUUUUUAAAGCUUAUAAACAAAAAGGAAAUCACGGAAUUUAAUGAAUGCCCAGUUGUAGAUUUGGCAUAAUCGUAACAACUUUGCAUGUCAUCUUUGCAAUCCAUAAGAUUAUGUAUCUGGAACUCUGGAAGCAUAAAAAUAAUAUCGUAGUUUUGAUUAUGCAGUUAAUUAGCAUAUAAUAUAAUUAUGCUAUAGAUUAUUAGGGGAUAAUUUCCGGAAACUAAAAUAGCAAAAGGAAAUCACAGAUUGUAAAAAAAUUAAAUAAACGAAACUAAAGACUUGGCUUAUUCGUGGAGGCUUGAAUCAUUCAACUCAUAAUAGCACUUUCCUAAACUUCAGGUCAUCUGCAACUGAAAUUUUAUAAACAAAACAUAAGAACAAGAAUAAAAAAAAACGAAGGGACAGAAACAGAAAUGGGAUCAAAGUUUCAUGCUUUUAUGUUUCCAUGGUUCGGUUUUGGCCACAUGACUGCAUUUCUACAUCUGGCUAACAAGCUAGCUGAAAAAGGGCACAAAAUCACUUUCUUGCUACCCAAGAAAGGUCUGAAGCAACUUGAACCUCUCAAUCUGUUCCCAAAAUCCAUUGUCUUUCACAUUCUUACCAUCCCUUCCGUCGAUGGUCUCCCUGAUGGUGCCGAAACAACCUCGGAUAUCCCCAUCACGUUAGGUAGUUUUCUGGCCUCAGCUAUGGAUCGCACACGUGGCCAGGUCGAAGAAGCGGUUCGAUUAGGUAAACCGGAUCUAAUUUUCUUUGAUUUUGCUCACUGGAUUCCGGACAUAGCUAGAGAAUAUGGGGCCAAGAGUGUGAAUUUUGUAACGAUCUCUGCAGCAUGUGUAGCUAUCUCAUUUGUCCCUGGUCGUAGUCCAGAUGAAUUAGCUAUACCUCCUCCGGGGUAUCCUUCCUCCAAGGUGUUGCUUCACGGACAAGAAACCAGUUCCUUGUCAUUUCUGUCCUAUCCCUUUGGUGAUGGAGUGACGUUUUACGAACGGAUCAUGACAGGGCUUGUGAACUGUGAUGUCAUAUCGAUAAGGACUUGCCAGGAAAUGGAAGGAAAAUUCUGCGAUUUUAUCGAAAGGGAAUUUCAAAGAAAAGUUCUCUUGACGGGUCCAAUGCUUCCUGAGCCGGACAAUAUCAAACCACUCGAAGAUCGAUGGAGUCACUGGCUGAACCGGUUCGAACCAGGAUCAGUAGUAUAUUGUUCACUUGGCAGCCAAAUCAUUCUUGAGAAGGAACAAUUUCAAGAACUAUGUUUAGGAAUGGAGCUGACUGGUUUACCAUUUCUUGUGGCGGUAAAGCCACCAAAAGGCGCAUCUACGAUUCAGGAAGCCUUACCAAAAGGGUUUGAAGAGCGGGUUAAGGAGCGUGGAGUGGUUUGGGGAGAAUGGGUGCAGCAGCCACUGAUAUUGGCUCAUCCAUCAAUAGGUUGCUUUGUGAGCCAUUGCGGGUUCGGGUCAAUGUGGGAGUCUCUGUUGAAUGACUGCCAAAUAGUGUUUAUUCCACAUUUGGGUGAACAAAUAUUCAACACCAGGCUAAUGAGCGAGGAACUUGAGGUCUCGGUGGAGGUGAAAAGAGAGGAAACAGGAUGGUUUUCAAAGGAGAGCUUAAGCGGUGCGGUUAGGUCAGUAAUGGACAAAGACACCGAGCUAGGGAACCUAGUAAGGAGGAAGCAUGCUAAAUGGAAGGAGUCUCUACUUAGUUCUGGAAUAAUCAGUGGUUAUGUCAAUAAGUAUGUAGAAGCACUGGAGAAACUAGUCUAAAAGAGACGAAACAUGAAAUAAAUUGCAUGUGUUUCAAAAAAAAAAAAAAAAUGAAAUAAAUUGCAUUGGUCUUAGUAACGUUGCUAUCAUUAACUAUACCACAUAACAUAAAAUGAAUUUUCUAUCUUGUAAGAUAAACUUCUAUAUAACAAUCAAAUCACUCCUUGUAGUGAUUUCCUGAAAGAGUUGCCAAAUAAUAAAUUCAAAGAAUUUAAAGAAAUAUUGGGACAUUGGUAUGAAAAUGAAGUUUUAGCUUGUGAGUUUCAAUAUCUUAGUCUGUUUUCUUUUCAUUCGUGUAUCCUACUUGUGUUUUCUUUAUUCACUAGUUACUUAUUAGACGUUAUUAGUCAAGUAGUGAAUACAUUGAAAAAUAAAAAAAUGGUUUCAUUUGAAUUAUUGUUGUUAGAUAACGAUAUAAGUAUAAUAUUUCAUCAAUCUUCAAAAAAAAAAAAGUAUAAUAUUUCAUCUUUCUUUAUUGAUUUUCAUUAGUUAUACGAUUUGGUGUUAAUCCGGGAACAAGGAUUUCAACAUCUACUGAUGAACAUUUUAUUGGUAACUUCCGAUCUAAAUUAUUUCAAAAAAAUUAUUUUGUUCUCAGUAAAUCAUUAAUUCAAAAUCAAUAUCAUAUAAUAAAAACGAAUCUUAUAUCUUGUAAGAUAAACUCUUAUAAAACAAUCAAAUAAUUCAUUGUAAUGAUUUCAUAAAAGAUUUGGCAAAUAAAUUACUUUAAAUAAUUUUAAGAAAUAUUGGGACAUCAAUAUGAAAAGAAAGUCUUAGUGGUUAGUUUCUAUAUCGUAGUGUGUUAUCAUGUUAUUGAUGUGUCCUACUUUUGUUUCCUUCGUUCAUUAGUACUUUAUGAGUUUAUUCUAAUAUAUAUAAAGUAAACAUUCAAUAAAACUUAUGUUGUGUCACUUAUAGUUAAUUCUAGAUUAAUUGAAGAUCUUUCUUUUGACAUGAGAUCUUCUAGAAUCUCACAUUCAAAAAUUGUAAUAAAUAUUAUUGUUUUGUCUAAAUUUUAGGCUUCUUUAUUAUUAUUUUUUUUAAUUUUAUUUAUUUCUGUAAAUUGAAUUUUCGGAUAAAAAUAUAAAUUUUACCGGAUAUAUAAAUACCGAAUAUUUAGAUUAAACAAUCAUGGAUUAUAAAAAUGAUGAUUUGGACAGAAAACAAAAGAAGAUCAUGAAUUGCACUCAAAAUAGAAAGAUCAUGAAUAACUUCAAAAUACUAUAUAUAUAUAUAUAUAUAUAAUAAGAUCCCCCGGCGUAUUAUUAACAUGUAUUACACGUGAUUGUAUCUGAUGUGAUCGUUUUAUUGAUAUUAGAUUUUGAUCCGUGUUUUUUUAAAUGCUAAUAGAUAUUUUAUACUGUGAAAUUUAAUAAAAAUAUAUCAAAUAUUUUAUUAGAAAAGUUAAAAAAUAUAUAUAUAUAUAUAUAUAUAUCCUAUAUAAUAUGUCAACCCUAUAUGACGUGGGUCCAUUCAACGUUUGUUUUGUUGAUAGCAUCACAAUUGAACAAACCGCUAAUCUUACCUAACACAUAAGCAUGGCAAUUUUAUUACAAAAUAAACUAUACAUCCUAUCUAUGUCAACACUAAAUGACGUGGGUCCAUUGUACCACUAAUCUUACCCAACACAUGAGCCUGGCAAUUUUAUUUCAAAAACACUAUAUAUAUAUCCUAUCUUUGUCUACCCUAAAUGAUGUGGUCCAUUCAUUCACCUUGUGUUUUGUCGAUAAUAUCAUAAUUGAGCAACAGACGACCGCUCAUCUUACCUAACCACAAGAAAAACAAAGAAGCAAUGAUUCUACAAAAAGUAAAAACAAAACAAAUAUGAAAAUUUGUCUCUCUCGUGGCUGUUUAUUAUGCCGGCUCUCUUGUGGCUAUAUUUAAGAUAAGGUGUACGAUUUGGGAGAGAAGAAAGAGAUAGAAAAGAAAAAGAAAAAAAAAAAACAGAAAUGGGAUCAAAGUUUCAUGCUUUUAUGUUCCCAUGGUUUGGUUUUGGUCACAUGACUGCAUUUCUGCAUCUGGCUAACAAACUAGCGGAGAAAGGUCACAAAAUCACUUUCUUGCUCCCCAAGAAAGCUCUGAAGCAACUAGAACCUCUCAGUCUGUUCCCAGGAUGCAUUGUCUUUCACACUCUUACCAUCCCUUCUGUGGAUGGUCUCCCUGAUGGCGCCGAAACAACCGCGGAUAUACCAAUCACCUUAGGGGGCUUUCUGGCCUCAGCUAUGGAUCGCACACGCGGUCAGGUCGAAGAAGCGGUUCGAUUAGGUAAACCGGAUCUGAUUUUCUUCGAUUUUGCUCACUGGAUUCCUGAAGUAGCUAAAGAGUAUGGAGCCAAGUGUGUGAAUUUCCUAACGAUUUCCGCAGCAUGUGUAGCUAUCUCAUUUGUCCCUGGUCGUAGUCCAGAUGAGUUAACUGUUCCUCCUCCGGGGUACCCUUCGUCCAAGGUGGUGCUUCGCGGACAAGAAACCAACUUCUUGUCGUUUUUAUCCUAUCCCUUUGGUGAUGGAGUAACGUUUUACGAACGGAUCAUGACAGGGCUUGUUAAAUGCGAUGUCAUAUCGAUAAGGACUUGCCAGGAAAUCGAAGGAAUAUUCUGCGAUUUUAUCGAAAGGGAAUUUCAAAGAAAAGUUCUCUUGACGGGUCCAAUGCUUCCUGAGCCGGACAAUAUCAAACCACUAGAAGAUCGAUGGCAUCAAUGGCUGAACCGGUUUGAACCAGGAUCAGUAGUAUACUGUUCGCUUGGCAGCCAAAUCAUUCUUGAGAAGGAAGAAUUUCAAGAACUCUGUUUAGGAAUGGAGCUGACCGGUUUACCAUUUCUUGUAGCGGUAAAGCCACCAAAAGGCGCAUCUACCAUCCAGGAAGCCUUACCAGAAGGGUUCGAAGAUCGGGUUAAGGAGCGUGGAGUGGUUUGGGGAGAAUGGGUGCAGCAGCCACUGAUAUUGGCUCAUCCAUCGAUAGGUUGCUUUGUGAGCCAUUGUGGAUUUGGGUCAAUGUGGGAGUCUCUAUUGAAUGACUGCCAAAUAGUGUUUAUUCCACAUUUGGGUGAACAAAUAUUCAACACCAGGCUAAUGAGCGAGGAACUUGAGGUCUCGGUGGAGGUGAAAAGAGAGGAAACAGGAUGGUUUUCAAAGGAGAACAUAAGCGGGGCGGUUAGGUCAGUGAUGGACAAGGACACCGAGCUAGGGAACCUAGUAAGGAGGAACCACGCCAAAUUGAAGGAGUCUCUACUUAGCUCUGGAAUAAUCAGUGGUUAUGCCAAUAAGUACGUAGAAGCACUUGAGAAACUAGUCUAAAAGAGACAAAACAUGAAAUAAAUUGCUUUGCAAGGAAACUUUGUUGGUCUUAAAUAAUGACGUCAUAUGAAUAAAGGAUGUCAUAUCGCUCGACUUAUUUGCUUAUUUUGUUAAUCACUUAUGAAUAAACGAUGUCAUAUCGUUGGUCUUGUAUGAAUUUUACAUGAGGAUUCCAUGCUUCUUCAAUAAAUUUCGAUCUCUUGUGUCAUGUGACUUCUGUGUUAGCUUUGUGCGUUACUAUCUUAUGUUUAUUUUUUUAUAUAACUUAAGUGGACCACACAAAAAGAUGAUCAAUAUUCGAAAACAAAUCAAAACAAAAUAAAAGAACGUUUCUUAACCUAAAAGGAUAAAAAAAAAAGAACAAAAUUUGGGUUCACCCCCUAUCGUGAAUUGUGAAAUUCACCCCAUUCUUUUCUACUAAUCAAAUUGUCAUGUAGGAUUAAUGAAAAAAUGAUAUUAAAAUUAGAAAAAAAACAAGGAAAAUAGCUUGAAAAUAAAAAAGGAGCUAACAUUGUUACGCCUUCCAUCGACUUCUUCUCUUCAUCGCUCACAGAGAAGAUAUAGGAAUACAAGGGUUUGUCAAAUUUGAGUCUCCAAUUCUAUGCUUUCAAAUCCAAUUUCGAUUUGACCAUUUCCAAGCCAAAUCAAACCAUGUUCAUCCAUGGAUUUUCUUCUUCUUCAUGCUAUUUGUACAUCAUCGCCGGCUUCAACCAAAAUCCAUUUUAUACUUCUGGAAAGAGUAUCAAUCAAACAACAAGGAAGCAUAAAAUGGAGAGUUAAAAGAUAAGUUUUUUUUAUUGGAAUUGAACUUUUGAUAAAUCUACAAAGGAAGUGGAUCAAAUAGAAGUUUCCAAGAAGAAGAACAAAGAAGAGUAGCAGAGAACAAGCUACAAAGAAGGACGAAGAAGAAGAGACUUGAGGCGCAAGAAACGACCUAGCCAUGGUUUCGAAGUUUAUGAAUUCGAAGUUUCAUUCUUUUAUGUACCCAUGGUUUCCUUUUGGUCACAUGACUCCAUAUCUACAUCUACCUAACAAACUUGCCGAGAAAGGUAACAGAAUCACCUUCUUGCUGCCCAAGAAAGCUCAGAAACUACUUGAGCAUCUCAGUCUCUUCCCACAACACAUCGUCUUUCACCCUCUUACUAUCCCUCAUGUCGAUGGCCUCCCUCCUGGCGCUCAAACAGCUUCCGAUAUCACCGUCUCCUUGGGGAAGUUCCUGACCCAAGCCAUGGACCUCACACGUGAUCAGGUUUUCUUCGAUUUCGCUUGUUGGGUCCCCGAGAUGGCCAAAGCAUAAAAAGUGAAGAGUGUGUCUCAUCAUGUGGUAUCUGCGUCUUCAAUGGCUUAUUCACUUGUCCCAGAUGCUGAACCAGGAGUUCCCCCACCGGGUUAUCCUUCAUCCAAGGUCACUUUCGUAAGCACGACGCCCCUAUUCCUUGUCGCCAACGGCCUCAGGUGCCCUUAAGAGGAUUAUUAAUCGGAUUAUCACAGGCCUUAAGAACUGCGACGUCAUCUCGUUUAGGACUUGCCAAGAUAUCGAAGGUAAGUUCUGCGACUUCAUCGAGCUUCAAUACCAGAAGAAGGUUCUCUUAACCGGUCCAAUGCUCCCUGAGUUAGGCAAGACUAUAGCACUAGAAAAUCAAUGGAAUCACUGGUUGAGAGGUUUUGAACCAGGGUCUGUUGUGUUUUUGUGCACUAGGCAGCCAAAUCAAUAUAGAGACGGAUCAAUUCCAAGAACUUUGCCUUGGAAUGGAACUAACAGGCUUACCGUUUCUUGUAGCGGUAAAGCCACCAAAAGAGGCAAAGAAGAUUCAAGAAGCUUUACCAGAAGGGUUUGAGGAGCGGUCGAAGGGUCGUGGAGUGGUCUGGGGAGGAUGAGUGCAACAACCAUUGUUAUUGGCUCAUCCAUCAAAUAGGCUUGCUUCCAUAUUUGGCUGAUCAAGUUCUCAACAUGAGAUUGUUGACCGUGGAACUAGAGGUUGCGGAUUUGCGGUUGAAGUGCAACGAGAAGAACCAGGAUGGUUCUCUAAAGAUAUAACCUGAGAGAUGCAAUCAUAUCCGUGAUGGUGAACUUGGAAAUUACGUCAGAAGGAACCACACGAAGUGGAAGCACUACAAGAAAACAUCGGGAUACUGAGGGAAAAAAUCGUCGGUAUGUCGUCGGAAUAACGUUAUUCCGAGGACAUACCGACGAAAAAAGUCCUCGGAAAUAACUCCUCGGAAAUUCAUAAUUCCUCGGAAUUCCGUCGGAAUUUUCCGACGGAAUUCCGAGGAAACAAAAUUCCGAGGAAACUCCGAGGACACAAUGUUCGUCGGAAGGUUCCUCGGAAAAUACCGAAGGAAUUCCGAUGGUCCAAUCCUCGGAAGUUUCGACGAAAUAUUUCUCGGAAUAUUUAUCGGAAAAUUCCGAGGGAAGAAAGUUCCUCGGAAAAUUCCGAGGAACAUUUGUUCCUCGGAAAAUUCCGAGGAACAUUUGUUCCUCGGAAANNNNNNNNNNNNNNNNNNNNNNNNNNNNNNNNNNNNNNNNNNNNNNNNNNNNNNNNNNNNNNNNNNNNNNNNNNNNNNNNNNNNNNNNNNNNNNNNNNNNNNNNNNNNNNNNNNNNNNNNNNNNNNNNNNNNNNNNNNNNNNNNNNNNNNNNNNNNNNNNNNNNNNNNNNNNNNNNNNNNNNNNNNNNNNNNNNNNNNNNNNNNNNNNNNNNNNNNNNNNNNNNNNNNNNNNNNNNNNNNNNNNNNNNNNNNNNNNNNNNNNNNNNNNNNNNNNNNNNNNNNNNNNNNNNNNNNNNNNNNNNNNNNNNNNNNNNNNNNNNNNNNNNNNNNNNNNNNNNNNNNNNNNNNNNNNNNNNNNNNNNNNNNNNNNNNNNNNNNNNNNNNNNNNNNNNNNNNNNNNNNNNNNNNNNNNNNNNNNNNNNNNNNNNNNNNNNNNNNNNNNNNNNNNNNNNNNNNNNNNNNNNNNNNNNNNNNNNNNNNNNNNNNNNNNNNNNNNNNNNNNNNNNNNNNNNNNNNNNNNNNNNNNNNNNNNNNNNNNNNNNNNNNNNNNNNNNNNNNNNNNNNNNNNNNNNNNNNNNNNNNNNNNNNNNNNNNNNNNNNNNNNNNNNNNNNNNNNNNNNNNNNNNNNNNNNNNNNNNNNNNNNNNNNNNNNNNNNNNNNNNNNNNNNNNNNNNNNNNNNNNNNNNNNNNNNNNNNNNNNNNNNNNNNNNNNNNNNNNNNNNNNNNNNNNNNNNNNNNNNNNNNNNNNNNNCUUUCCACAAAAUUUGCAUGAAACCCGCUGUUCAUCCGCCCUCCAAUAAAUCAUGCAGUUGUCUCUGCAUACAUCUAUUACCUGAUACGAUAAACCAAGACCAGCUACGAGUUUCUGAACCUCGUAGUAUGAGCCAGGAGCUACAUUAUCUUCAGGUAGAAUACCUUUUACAUAAUCAGCAAUCGCAUCCACACAGUCUUCAGCCAAAUUAUAAUCCGUCUUAAUGCCCAUCAAUCUUGUAGCAGAUGAUAAAGCUGAAUGACCAUCUCUGCAACCUUCGUACAAUGGUUGCUUUCCAGCAUCCAACAUAUCAUAAAAUCUCCUAGCUUCGGCAUUGGGUAAAUCUUCCCCUCUAAAAUGAUCAUUUACCAUCUGCUCAGUACCUACACCGUAAUCUACAUCCGUUCUAAUUGGAUCUUCUAAUCUAACCGGUGGCUGAGGUUCGCUAGUACUACCAAGUUCAUAAUCAGUUUCUCCAUGAUGAUACCAAAUUUUGUAACUUCGUGUAAACCCACUCAAAUAUAAAUGAGUCCAAACAUCCCAUUCUUUAAUAACUUUUUUAUUUUUACAAUUAGAGCAAGGACAUCUUAACAUACCUGUUUUUGCUUCCGGUUGUCGGUGAACUAACCCCAUGAAUUCGGUUAUACCUUGUUGGUAUUCUUCCGUAAGCAAUCUCGUGUUCGGAUCCAAAUGAGGUCGAUCGAUCCAAGAACGAAAAUAAUUGGAAGAAGACAUGUUUUUUAUGAAUCAAAUUCGUGUGUAAAGAAAGUGAGAGGGAGGAUGAAGAUAUGGUGUGAAUGAAGAGGAAGAGGGGUGCUUGUAUUUAUAGGUGAAAUCCUGCCGACGGUCCGAGGAAAUUCCGACGGAAUUCCGAUGCAAACGGCUAGUUCGUCGGAAUUUCCUCGGAAUUUUUAAAAUCCCCCAACGGCUCUCCAACGGCUCUCUAACGUCUAUAAUAUUUCCUCGGAAUUCAUCGGUUUUUUCCGAGGAAUACUAGUUUCCUCGGUAUUCCGUCGGAAUAUUCCGACGAAAUGUGUUUUCCUCGGAAUUCCGUCGGAAUAUUCCGACGGAAUUCCGAGGAAGCAAAAUUUUGUAUUUCCUCGGAAUUGCCUCGGAAAUGCCUCGGUAUAUUCCGAGGAAUUCAUUUUCCGUCGGAUCGUCCGUCAGAAUACCGCUGUUUUCUUGUAGUGAAGGGUUAUUUGUUCAGACGUGGAGUAAUGAGUGGUUAUGUUGACAUGUACGUAGAAGCAUCAGUGAAUUUCGUCCAUAAAUUGAAUUAUGAAAUACUUUGUAGCGUUUUAACAAAUAAAGUCGUGUGUAUGAAUAUUAGAAAAUUACGGAUAGUGAAUUAAAGAACGCGAAAAACGUAUUUCAAAACAUGAUUACGUACGUGAGCCAUUCUUUCGUACUUAUCACGUGAUUGAAUAGACUAAAAUCAUAGGCUAGUUACGUACUAUAUUUCUUUCUAAACUCAUAAUAAGUUUCACACAUUUUCUCAUUUAUUUCUAUUUACAUUUUCCUUUCAAAUAACAUCGGCUGUUGUUCCAAAAUAUCAGUCUCCUAAACUUUCAUAGGUACAAAAUACAAAAUAUCUAUAGACUACAACUAUGAAUUUGUUAUUCACUGUUAUCAAGUAUACAAUGAAAAGUAUAGUGGCCAACUUGUUCACGGUGUGGCUUGUUUUUCCGGUCCAGAUCAGAUCCGAUCUCGGAUCUGGAUCCGUGUAUUGUGCUCAGCUCUAAAUAAAUGGCAUAAUUAACUUAAUAUUCACGUAGAAUGCACUACUUACACAUAACCCUUACUAAUUAUUAACCUUAAUCAACCACUAGCCAGACCCUGCCCUGAUAAGAAGCUGUAGAUGCAUGAGAUUCCAACCUCCAAAAUAUAUAUAAAAUUUUCGGCCAUUUUUUCUUAAAUUGUUCAUUAGUCUAGUGGUAUUGAGAAAGUUGGAACCCUUGCACCCUGAGUUUGAACCAUGAGUUGGUUGUUAGCUUUUUUUUUUUUGAAAUAGUUCAGGACCGCUACUACCACUAGCAAGUAUUAUAAUAUACAAGAUAUGAGCCUAUUGCGUCGUAACGGGUUUUUGUUUGAUGUUUUAAUUUAAUAAAAACCAUAAAAUAAUAAAUUAUUUUAUUAUAGUAUUAUGAUUUUUUUUUUGCAUAUGUUGUUUGAGAUUUAUUUUAUAAUUAAAAUUUAUUUUCACAUAUAAAUUCAAGUUAAUAUUUGUAUUUUAUAAUCAUGGUGCAUAGAUGAAUUGUUAUAAACUUUAUAUAUAUCUUUUAUCUUGUAGCAUAUCAAAUUGUAGAUGUCUUGCGACAACUUUUGCAUCUUGUUGCUUCACAUUUUUGCAUCGAGCACAUGGACACAAUAAAGUUUGCCGCUUCUCGUAAUAUGCUUGAUUACACCCAAAUUGAAUAAAUGCGUUAAUGCCCCCGAAAAAUACUUCUGAAACGGAAUUACUCUCAGGAUCAAUCCUUUGAUCCACCCAUUCCCUAGAUUCAAAGUAAAAAGACAUAGUUUUUGUUUACAAAAUUUGGGUAAACAUCAAAACUUCUUAAUGCUUCAUCCGUGAGAUGUCUAUAUAUUAGAAAGUAGCCACGCUUUAUCCACUAAAGUAGCGUGGCUUUUGAAAAACAUCACUGCAUAAAGCAUCUCAGCCACGGUACAGCCAUAAAUAAACCGUGGCUAUGUUACAUUUGGUCAAUACGAUUGGACAUAACACUACUAUUUUGAUGUCUAUAAAAACAAAACGUAGCCACUAAUUAUUGUAGUGGUUAAAUCGUGGCUAGGUCUGUUCCCACAAAAAAAUACGUUGCUAGUUCGUGGCUAGUGUAGCCACACUACUUUUUCGUGAUUUAAUCGCGUCUUUUUUUUUGGGUUUUUCGUGGCUAAUAUUUUUUCCGUGUCUCCGACGUGGCGGUUGCAUGGCUUAUAGCCAUGGUUAUGUAGUGGCACUACCAUGGCUAUGCGGUAGAUUUUUACUAGUGGUUGACAAUGAGAAAGUUGAAGUAGGACACGUCGCAGGAGAGCUACAGAAAGCAGAUAUUCUAACCAAAGUGUUGGGAAGAAUCAAGUAUAAAGAGAUGAGAGAGCUAGUAGGAGUGCAAGAUGUCAAUCAAGUUCACUUCAAAUUUAAAGAGGAGAUUGUUGGAUAAGCUUGAGUUAGCUUGAGAAGCAAGCAACCUAAAUCAAUUGAGUUAUAGAUUAGAAAAUUAUCUAUUGAUGCUUACCUAAUGAGUUUAGGAAGUUUGUGUGGUUAUAUAUAUGGAGAUGCAUGCGUGUUGCAGAACAUAUGAGUUUGAGAGAAUAUUGUGUGCUUGAAUUUUGAGAGAUUAAUAUAAAGUGAGUACUUAUAAUUCUUUAGUUCAUAUUCUAGAGCCGGGACAAUAAUUGACCCCAACAAAGGGUAAUGAUGAUAGUUAAUGUUGUGUACGAGGCUUGUGUUGGCUCUAGGCCUCCAGUCAAUGAAAAAUAUGUUCUUUCGUUUCUCCGGUUCGUUAUCGUCGGGGACGUAUCCACGGUGGAACGAGACGAUGUCUCCGCUCUCGAGUUUCAUUUCUUUGACGAAACGACACCAUCCUUUAGUCAUCACGUAGCUCUGGCUACUGUUCCAAUACGAGUAGCAGAACCUUCACAUCUUUCCGGUUCUGUCUUCAAAGUCCAAUACCGUACCGGUUUGAUUGUCCUCUAAAGGGAAGUAGUUCUCUGCAUGUUGCUUUGGUAUCACGAGCCGGUUUAGUUUCCCGAAGUCGCUUUGUGUUAGCACUUUGUCGAACAUGUGCUCUCCUACCGCCGAGUUGAAGUUGUUGUUGCCGGAGCCACUAGCUCCGGUUUCGGUCGGUUCUUGCCUUCUUGGAUAGGGGUCGUCCUCGUUGUCGACAUAUUCAUCAAGACUAUUAUAUAAACUUUGUUCCAAUUCAAGAUCUUUUAAAAGGUAUUCAACUCUUUUUAGUGGAUGUAAUGAGUGGUUCUUGAGAAUGUGAGAUAAUAUUUAGCAGAUACAAAAAUACAAAAUAAAACCCACAACCGCAAAUAGUAAUCGGUAACUGGUAAUUAAAAUCAGGAGUUAUGAGCAAGUGAGGCACAAAUAAAACGCUAGAAUCCAGAAGAAGAAGACAGACGUACUCUUUAGUAUUUAGAAUUUAUCCAAAUAUUCUCUCUGCAUCAAGUUCCCAUUGAUAUUUUGUUAAAUAUUUUUCUUAAUUUUCAUAAAUGUGUAAAAUAAAUACGAAAUUCGAAAAACAACUAAUGGGUCAUAGUUAACCGUUGUGAUCAAGCCAGUCUGGUCCGACGUUUAGGAUACAUGUUGGGAUCUAAUCUAGGCUCGACACAAGCCAAGAGAGGUUUAGCCAUGAAUAAGUUUUCUUUCGAUUCGACUAGCUCGACUUUGGCCGUCUUUGGAGGAAGCGUCCAGUCGAAUCCUUGAAGAAGCCUUCCCAGCAAUGUAACAAUCAUAUAGGUCCCAAGCUUAGUCCCAACGCAGCCACGCCUACCGGUUCCAAAUGAAACGAGUCGCAUGUCUGGCUCAGUCAACAUCACUUCAUCACCGGUUAGGUGACGCUCAGGCUUGUAGAUGAGUGGCUCGUCCCAUGUUUUAGGGUUUCGACCAAUACCAGGACGACUCACUAGAAUAUGACUGCCUGUCACAUUAAAAUUCAAAAAUAUUAUAUAGAACUGAGUAAAGAAAAACUUAAAAGUGAUAACAAUAUCCAUGUCAUAAUGCAAAUACUCUAGAUAUAUCAAGAACAACAAUAAGUGAAAUUUUGCUUAAUCGCUUUGAAGUUGAAGGGAAAAAGGGGAACUUAAAAGUUAUUUAUAAGGUGAAUGUGUUCUAUAAUAAAAAAGUUAUUUAAUAAAUUAUCAUGGUGUUUUAGAAAAAUAAUAAUAAUAAUAAUAAUAACAAUAAUAAUAAUAAUAAUAAGGAGAUAUAACAAAAUUGUUCUUUUCAACAUGUUGGAACAGAAGUUAUUUUUAAAGGGCAAAUUACUGGAAAAACAAAAAAAGUUAAAAGAUAGAGAAAAUUAGUUUGAGAAAACAUGGGGUUUUUAAUGGAUACCUCCAGUUUUCCUAUUUAUUUAUAUAAAAAUAAAAAGGAUAUGAAAAAUAAAGAAAUUGUUAUUAGAAAUUAUCAUGGUAUUUUAAGCAAAAAAGUAACAAUUAUAAUUAGGAGAUAUAACAAAAUUAUUCUUUAUAUAUGUUGGAACAAAAAGGUUAUUUAAUUUAAAGGCAAUUUACUGAAGAAAAGCAGAAAGAUAGAUACAAUUAGGGUUGCGAAAACAUGUUUUAAUGGAUAUGUACAUCCAAUUUUCCUAAUUAAUUUUAGAAAAAUAAAAGAGAUAUAUACAUAUAUACCUUUUGGGACGAAAUAUCCAGCGAGAGUUGUGUCUUGACGAGCCAUGUGAGGGACGAGGAAAGGGUUGGUAGGGUGAAGUCUAAGAGUUUCUCUG